GACGAACGCUGGCGGCGUGCUUAACACAUGCAAGUCGAACGGAAAGGCCCUGCUUUUGUGGGGUGCUCGAGUGGCGAACGGGUGAGUAACACGUGAGUAACCUGCCCUUGACUUUGGGAUAACUUCAGGAAACUGGGGCUAAUACCGGAUAGGAGCUCCUGCUGCAUGGUGGGGGUUGGAAAGUUUCGGCGGUUGGGGAUGGACUCGCGGCUUAUCAGCUUGUUGGUGGGGUAGUGGAUUACCAAGGCCUUGACGGGUAGCCGGCCUGAGAGGGUGACCGGCCACAUUGGGACUGGGAUACGGCCCAGACUCCUACGGGAGGCAGCAGUGGGGAAUAUUGCACAAUGGGCGGAAGCCUGAUGCAGCCACGCCGCGUGCGGGAUGACGGCAUUCGGGUUGUAAACCGCUUUCGCCUGUGACGAAGCGUGAGUGACGGUAAUGGGUAAAGAAGCACCGGCUAACUACGUG
rnacentral:rRNA from 1 species